GAAAUGCGAUAAGUAGUGUGAAUUGCAGAAUUCAGUGAAUCAUCGAAUCUUUGAACGCACAUUGCGCCCUUUGGUAUUCCAAAGGGCAUGCCUGUUCGAGCGUCAUUUGUACCCUCAAGCUUUGCUUGGUGUUGGGCGUCUUGUCUCUAGCUUUGCUGGAGACUCGCCUUAAAGUAAUUGGCAGCCGGCCUACUGGUUUCGGAGCGCAGCACAAGUCGCACUCUCUAUCAGCAAAGGUCUAGCAUCCAUUAAGCCUUUUUUCAACUUUUGACCUCGGAUCAGGGAGGGAUACCCGCUGAACUUAAGC
rnacentral:misc_RNA from 1 species